rnacentral:rRNA from 1 species
AUUGAACGCUGGCGGCAUGCCUUACACAUGCAAGUCGAACGGUAACAGGUCUUCGGAUGCUGACGAGUGGCGAACGGGUGAGUAAUACAUCGGAACGUGCCCAGACGUGGGGGAUAACGAGGCGAAAGCUUUGCUAAUACCGCAUACGAUCUAAGGAUGAAAGCAGGGGACCGCAAGGCCUUGCGCGUUUGGAGCGGCCGAUGGCAGAUUAGGUAGUUGGUGGGAUAAAAGCUUACCAAGCCGACGAUCUGUAGCUGGUCUGAGAGGACGACCAGCCACACUGGGACUGAGACACGGCCCAGACUCCUACGGGAGGCAGCAGUGGGGAAUUUUGGACAAUGGGAGAAAGCCUGAUCCAGCAAUGCCGCGUGCAGGAUGAAGGCCUUCGGGUUGUAAACUGCUUUUGUACGGAACGAAAAGGCUCUGGCUAAUACCUGGGGCACAUGACGGUACCGUAAGAAUAAGCACCGGCUAACUACGUG